rnacentral:rRNA from 1 species
AUGACUUUUGAGAUGUUACUCAGAUGGGUUAGUCGAAACUAAUUAAACCUAAAAAAAGCAGUUAAAUACCUAUUUAAAUUAUAAUAAAUUAUAAAUUAAAGAAUAACUACACUAACUAUUCAAAUAAAUGAAUAAUCAAAUCAAUUUCUUUCAUUUAUUAUUUUAAUCACUCCCUCCAGAUAACUGAUUUUGCCUUUUAUUAAAUUUUUUUACCUUUGAGGUGGAGAGAGGACCAUAGGCCAUCCAUACUACUAAGCCCUACCUAACUUAGGCAGUAAGUAGUCAAUAAAUAAAUAAAUAGAAAGAGAUAAAUAGAUAAUAAACCAAUAUUUUAUUAUUUAUAAUGUUUUACCUUUUUUAAAGAUAGACUUCGCGGCGCUUUCCCCCAAGCUGAACUUCUCCCCAGCGACAGACGGUU